GUCUAUCUUCCACGUAGAGAGAGAGAGAGAGAGAGAGAGAGAGAACGGUGGAAAAGAAGAAGAAGAAGAAGAGAAGGAAAAAAAUUGGGAAAAAUCUUGCUUGACUUGGAUUGAAGCCCUACCUUGGAAGCUCGGGUGGUUCGUAGAGCCGAGGUGAGUGAUUUAAUACCUAAACACAUGAUUUUGAACUUGUUUUCCCUAUCAAGCUUAAUUGAACAUGAUUUAUAAAUUAUAUACUCCAUGGAUAACAAUGAAAGGUGGACCUAUUUGUGAAAUAUUUGCGAAUCUAUUUAAUGGCAUUCCCAACGUCCGGUCUUGCUAGGGGACGGCUUAAUGGCUAGCAAGGGUGUUUGAGGUUGGUGUGUGUUUUGGGAUAAUGCAUAGACGUCUGGCUUAUCCACUACUGGGGACGCCCGGUAGCUUUUGAAUUUUGAAUAGCAGAAUGUGCAUUAUAUUUGGCUUAUGGUUUUGAGUUCUUUGUUUUGAAAUAUUAUCAAAUUAUUUUGCAUUAUCCAUGGAAGGCAUGUGAGUUAAGUAUUAAUCAUUCACACGAGCUUUGGCUUAUGGAUUUUGUUUUCCACCCUUCAGGAAGCGACGCGUAGUGUGGUGGCGUGUUUACUUUUGGGAUGUGUUGGAAACUUGUAGAAAGGAAGUUUUGCUUGUAGACACUUAGCUUUGUAUAUGGUUUGCUAGCUUUUGGGUUUGUAAGUAAGAACAACUUUGAGAGGUUUAUCUUUUGGUUUGUAAAACCUAAGUAAGACUUUGGUUCGUUAUCAAUAAAAGUCGUCUUUUGCUUCCGCUGUUA